rnacentral:tRNA from 1 species
GGGCCAAUAGCUCAGUCCGGUAGAGUACCUCCUUGGCGUAAAAAUUACUUUCCAAAUUGGAGGAAGCCGAGGGUUCAAAUCCCCCUUGGUCCA